AGCGAACGCUGGCGGCAUGCCUAACACAUGCAAGUCGCACGGGGGGGCUUCGGCCUCCCAGUGGCGGACGGGUGAGGAACGCGUAGGGACCUGUCGAGGGGUGGGGGAUAACCGCGGGAAACUGCGGCUAAUACCGCAUGACGCCGCGGCGUGACAGCCGGGGCAAAAGGCGAAAGCCGCCCGCCGAUGGACCUGCGUCCGAUUAGCUGGUUGGCGGGGUAGCGGCCCACCAAGGCGUCGAUGGGUAGCUGGUCUGAGAGGGUGAUCAGCCACACCGGGACUGAGACACGGCCCGGACUCCUACGGGAGGCAGCAGUGGGGAAUAUUGGACAAUGGGCGCAAGCCUGAUCCAGCAAUGCCGCGUGGGUGAAGAAGGUCUUCGGAUUGUAAAGCCCUUUCGGCGGGGACGAUGGUGACGGUACCCGCAGAAGAAGCCCCGGCUAACUUCGUG
rnacentral:rRNA from 1 species